UCUGGUUGAUCCUGCCGGACCUGACUGCUAUCGGAUUGGUACUAAGCCAUGCGAGUCAUUGUAGCAAUACAAGGCGGACGGCUCAGUAACACGUAGUCAACCUAACUCGUGGACGUGGAUAACCUCGGGAAACUGAGAAUAAACCACGAUAGAUCAUAGUGCCUGGAAUGGCUUAUGGUCCAAACAGUUUACUGCCAUGGGAUGGGACUGCGGCCUAUCAGCUUGUUGGUGAGGUAAUGGCCCACCAAGGCGAUUACAGGUACGGGCUCUGAGAGGAGAAGCCCGGAGAUGGGUACUGAGACACGGACCCAGGCCCUAUGGGGCGCAGCAGGCGAGAAACCUUAGCAAUGUGCGAAAGCACGACUGGGUCAGUCCGAGUGAUUCCUGAUAAAGGAGUCUUUUGCUUGUCCUAAAAGCACAGGUGAAUAAGGGGUGGGCAAGUCUGGUGUCAGCCGCCGCGGUAAUACCAGCACCUCGAGUGGUCAGGACGUUUAUUGGGCCUAAAGCAUCCGUAGCCGGCUUUGCAAGUCUUCGGUUAAAUCCACCUGCUCAACAGAUGGGCUGCUGGAGAUACUACAAAGCUAGGGAGUGGGAGAGGCAGACGGUAUUCAGUGGGUAGGGGUAAAAUCCUCUGAUCCAUUGAGGACCACCAGUGGCGAAGGCGGUCUGCCAGAACACGUUCGACGGUGAGGGAUGAAAGCUGGGGGAGCAAACCGGAUUAGAUACCCGGGUAGUCCCAGCUGUAAACGAUGCAAACUCGGUGAUGCAUUGGCUUAUGGCCAAUGCAGUGCCGCAGGGAAGCCGUUAAGUUUGCCGCCUGGGAAGUACGGACGCAAGUCUGAAACUUAAAGGAAUUGGCGGGGGAGCACCACAAGGGGUGAAGCCUGCGGUUCAAUUGGACUCAACGCCGGG
rnacentral:rRNA from 1 species